UAAGAUUUGUUUAAGUUUUAGGAAUUGACUAGGAUUGAUUUAGGAUCUAGGGUUUGGUUAGAAUUUGAUUAAGAUUUGAUUACAAUUUGAUUAGAACUUGGUUAGAAUUUAGGAUUUGUCUAAGUUUUGAUUAGGAUUUAAGAUUUUUCUAAAGUUUGGUUAAGAUUUAGGAUUUUAUUUGGAUUUUAUUAGGAUUUGAUUAGAUUUUGAUUAAAAUUUGUAUAAGAUUUGAGUAGGAUUUAAUUAAGGUUUAUUUAAGAUUUGUCUAGGAUUGGAUGAAGGUUUCAUUAGAAUUCAUUAGAAUUGGUUUAUAAUUUGGGAUCUCAUUAGGAUUUAAACUAAGGUUUGAUUAAGGUUCAUUGAGGUAUCAAUUAAGGUUUUAAUUAGGAUUUGUCUUAGAAUUUGAUUAAUAAUUAAG
rnacentral:lncRNA from 1 species